AUGUGCCUGAUCCUGUCUGAUCUCAGAAGCUAAGCAGGAUCGGGCCUGGUUAGUUCUUGGAUGGGAGACCACCUAGGAAGACCAGAUGCUGUAGGCA
rnacentral:rRNA from 1 species